UUUGUAAAUUGCUCCGAAUGUGCGGGGAAUGGAUGGGAAGGUGGGAUAAUAUAGGACUAGUGCGAAGGUUGGCG